AGCUUUCUGAAUCCGUGCCGAAAUUUUAUCUGACGCCAGCCUAUCGAGACUGAUGAGAUUCACAAGGUAAGUCAAGCU
rfam:Schistosoma margrebowiei strain Zambia genome assembly, scaffold: SMRZ_scaffold0003727